rnacentral:rRNA from 7 species
UUGACCUCGGAUCAGGUAGGGAUACCCGCUGAACUUAAGCAUAUCAAUAAGCGGAGGAAAAGAAACCAACCGGGAUUGCCCUAGUAACGGCGAGUGAAGCGGCAAGAGCUCAAAUUUGAAAGCUGGCUCCUUCGGGGUCCGCAUUGUAAUUUGCAGAGGAUGCUUCGGGAGCGGUCCCCAUCUAAGUGCCCUGGAACGGGCCGUCAUA